GACGAACGCUGGCGGCGUGCUUAACACAUGCAAGUCGAACGGAAAGGCCCUGCUUUUGUGGGGUGCUCGAGUGGCGAACGGGUGAGUAACACGUGAGUAACCUGCCCUUGACUUUGGGAUAACUUCAGGAAACUGGGGCUAAUACCGGAUAGGAUCUCCUGCUCCAUUGUGGGGGUUGGAAAUUUUCGGCGGUUGGGGAUGGACUCGCGGCUUAUCAGCUUGUUGGUGGGGUAGUGGCUUACCAAGGCUGUGACGGGUAGCCGGCAUGAGAGGGUGACCGGCCACAUUGGGACUGAGAUACGGACCAGACUCCUACGGGAGGCAGCAGUGGGGAAUAUUGCACAAUGGGAGGAAGCCUGAUGCAGAAACGCCGCGUGCGGGAUGACGGCCUUCGGGUUGUAAACCGCUUUAGCCUGUGACGAAGCGUGAGUGACGGUAAUGGGUAAAGAAGCACCGGCUAACUACGUG
rnacentral:rRNA from 1 species